UGUGGAGGAGGGGUGCGGAAAGUGAGAAACGAACCCAGAAAAAUCAUCGUAAGCCAAGGAACCACGGGCGAUAUCUGCGGCACUUACCCGCCUAAAUUUAGAGCUCCACAGUAAAGCUAAACUCAGUCUCCGACUCCGGCCCACGUGAAGAAAUUCCCACCGGAAGACGGUACUCUGAGCAGCUACAAAAAGACCAGUCUAUCCUGCUGGAGACAGUGGCCAUGUGAAGAAAGAGCUCUUGCAGUAUGAAAGACCACAUGGAAAGAGAGGCCACAUGGAACCAACAGUCAGCAUCUUGGUUUCAGACACGUGAAGAAAUUCAUCUCAGACUGUGUAUCCUAAAUCAGGCACUUGCUGAAUCCAACUACAUGAGUGAGACCAGUUGACAACACAUGGAGCAGACAUGAGCUGUUCUCAGUGAGUCCUACACAAAUUCCUGACUCACAACACUGU
rnacentral:lncRNA from 1 species